rnacentral:miRNA from 1 species
UUGCGUCAUUCAGAUCCAUCCGA